UGGGGAAUCUUGCACAAUGGGGGAAACCCUGAUGCAGCGACGCCGCGUGAGCGAAGAAGUAUUUCGGUAUGUAAAGCUCUAUCAGCAGGGAAUAAAAAAGAAGGUACCUGACGAAGAAGCCCCGGCUAACUACGUGCCAGCAGCCGCGGUAAUACGUAGGGGGCAAGCGUUAUCCGGAUUUACUGGGUGUAAAGGGAGCGUAGACGGUGCGUUAAGUCAGAAGUGAAAGCCCAUUGCUCAACGAUGGAGCUGCUUUUGAAACUAACGAACUAGAGUACAGGAGAGGUAAGUGGAAUUCCUAGUGUAGCGGUGAAAUGCGUAGAGAUUAGGAGGAACACCAGUGGCGAAGGCGGCUUACUGGACUGAAACUGACGUUGAGGCUCGAAAGCGUGGGGAGCAA
rnacentral:rRNA from 1 species